UGAGGUUCCUAGGGUGGAGUUACUGUGAAGGAGAUAGUCCAGAGAGAGAACUCCAGACACAUGCAAGAGGGUCUCCCUCAAGUCUUUAGCUAACGACCGAUCAGGAAAUAUGCAAAGAAAUGACCCAAUGCCAAGGAAAGAAUGACCCGAGGAUUAGAGAAAAGAAACAGCAAAGCUUACACGGGGCUAACAAUUGUUUGUGUUCCUUCCAG
rnacentral:lncRNA from 1 species